GCAGUGCAGGAGAUUCUCGGGCUGCAGCAGGAGCUGACGCAGGGGCAGAUGGCUCUCCGCUAGGAUCACUGUUGCAAUCUGUUCUGUGCCUUUCAGACAUUCAGAAAACAAAAUGCUUUGCUACCUGCCCUUGAGCUCUGACCAGGGGAAAUCUUGAUAUUGAGCCCUAAGCUUGAGAGUGGCCGGGGGCUCUGCUGUUUAGCAGCCUCCUCCGGUGGUCUUGACAGCGUUCCGCCUUCUCCCUUCCAGACCCUUUCUUCCCACUCUCCUUCUUGGUGAAUAGCUGGUUCCCGGGGAUGCUGGACGACUUCUUCCAGUCUCUGUUCCUGUGUGCCCUGCUGCUCUUCUGGCUGUGCGUGUAUCAUGGGAUACGGGUCCAGGGAGAGAGAAAAUGUUUAACUUUCUAUUUGCCUAAGUUCUUCAUUGUUGGACUGCUGUGGCUGGCUUCUGUCACGCUGGGAAUAUGGCAGACAUGAGUAACACAACGCUUCUGGGUGUGAAACGUCAGCCCUGGAAAGUGCUGACAACAGAGGGCAGGCUGAAUCUGCCUGCCCUGCCAUCUCACCCAAUUGACAGCUUCUGCCCAGCAUAGUCACAUAACUGGAUCCAAGGAAUUGGACUUGGCUUGUGUGGCUUGCAGUAAAAGGGUCUUCUAGCCUAAGUAGAAGAUUUAAUGAAUUAAAUGAUCCCAUGUACCAGUAUCGGGUUGACACCGGAAACUUUCAGGGCAUGAAGGUCUUCUUCAUGGUGGUGGCCGCUGUGUACAUUUUAUACCUUCUAUUCUUGAUAGUGCGAGCAUGCUCUGAGCUCCGUCAUAUGCCUUACGUGGAUCUCAGGUUAAAGUUUUUGACUGCAUUGACCUUUGUAGUGCUAGUUAUUAGCAUCGUCAUCCUCUACCUACGGUUUGGAGCACAAGUGUUGCAGGACAACUUCGUAGCAGAACUGUCGGCUCACUACCAGAACUCAGCUGAAUUCCUGUCUUUCUAUGGCCUGUUGAACUUUUACUUGUACACGCUGGCCUUUGUGUACUCUCCGUCGAAGAAUGCCCUGUACGAGUCCCAGCUGAAGGAUAACCCUGCGUUUUCCAUGUUGAACGACUCUGACGAUGACGUGAUUUACGGGAGUGACUAUGAAGAAAUGCCCCUGCAGAACGGCCAGGCCAUCCGUGCCAAGUGCAGGGAAGAGUCGGACAGUGACUGAGCCCCGGGCAGCAGAUGGGACAGCAGGGGGCCAGAGGCCUGCCUGAGUGACACAUUCUGGCCCCUUCUAUCUGUUUGUGUCUGGACUCCUCUGUAAGCAAAGGUUUCCUGUUCCUUAUUUAUUUACAUAUUUUUAAAAGAAAACCCAAAUGGAUUGAAAUGUGGGGCGGAGUUUGCUUUGGGGCCAGCCCCACUAUUUAAGAAGAGGGGCUGCCUGGUAGAGAAUUCAAAGGCAUAUCCUGUACACCGACAUCAGGUGCGAUGGAGCCCGUAUGCAGUCAUGAGGAGAAGUUACCCAUUUUUAAUAAAAAGAAUUAUAUACUUUUUCUUUCCUUUUAAAAAAGCAAUUGAGUCUGUGGGAGGCCUGACGAUCAAGGUCCCAGCGUGGCAGUGAUGACUCUUUCCUCUCUGUGGCACCGUUCUUGAGUGCCCUACCCUCAAGGGAAGUCUAAGCUGUGCCUGCCUCAGGUGGGCGGUCUGCCUCCGUCUUCUCCAGCACAUGGUGGGGUCAGUAUGCUCACUCAGGCAUCUGCAGUGAGACUUUGAUUGUGUUUGAUGAGCCACAUUCAAUAUCAUUUUCAGGAAUGGCAAGUGGCCAGGUUCCCGUCCAUCAUUGCCACCCCCCACCCCCAGCAGAAUUGCCAUCGAAGUUGAGUCCAGAGUGGGCUGAUAGCCUGGAGGAAGCCCAGGCAGCUACAGGCCAGUAGCGCUGUGGGCAAGGUCCUGUGUCAUGGUGCUUUUCAAGGGUCUGUGUACAGUUAGGAUUGGGUCUCCCUGUGCUGGAGGUGGAAAACGAGGAGGCCCUUCCGACCAAAAUUUCUGCAUCUUCACUGAGUGUGAACCCCCGGAGAGCUCUAUUAUUAUUAUUAUUUUUUUUAAUCAAAGCUACAUAAAAUACAACUGUAUUAGAAAUACUUUAUUGCCAGAAAGACUUUCUGUUUUAAUUAGGAACUAAAGUAAAGAGAAAGUAAGACAUUUUGAAUGGCUAUAGAGACAGCUGCAGAUGAAGGGACUCGCCCCAAGGUUGUUCUGGGUUUGGAGUGUGGAUGUCACCCACACUGAAGUUCAGCAUUGGAAGUCCUCAGGGCCACCGCCUUCCUUCCCGCUCCUCAGUUUCCCCACACAGCGUCUCUGCGAAGACCUGGUAAAGGUAGCAUCCUGCCUGCCUCUGUCUUGGCAAAUCCAGAGGCCCAGUUCCGGUACAUCCCUCUUCUGUCCCCUUCGUCUGUGCACCGACUCAGAUUUCCGCUCUGAGCUGCAGGUUACUGUCCGUGUGGGCCGGACUCCAGGGUGGAAGACAUUCUUCAGUCUGCCUGUCUUCUUAAACUUCAUACUUUAAUAUGGAUUCCAUGUGCAUUUUUUUUUAAAAACAAAACAACUUGUAACUAUGAACAUUGGAAUGGAAACUCAUUGCGAGGGUAACGGGUUUACAUGAGUUUGCACUUGCUGUGAUCACUGAGUCUGUUGGGGAAGAUACCAGAAUAUCUUAUGUUAACAGCCCUUCCCUUCCAGUGGAGCCCUGCAGCUGCCAUCUUAUGGACGCUGACUCGUACUGAUCCCAAGAUGUUCUAAUAUGUGAGAGUUUACAUGUCUUCAUCAUUAUAAAUAAGUCUCCAUGGUUUAUAACACUAUGUAUCAGUCAGUGUAAGAUAUUUUAAGCAUUUAGGUACAGACUUCAGAACUUUUAAAAACUGCCCUAUAGAAUAAUUAUAAACUGAUCCUAGUGUCCGUAAAACUAAGGGAAUAUUUUUUUGCUGUUGAAAUAUGAAUUAUAAAGCAGCACUCCUAGGGUCGUGUGCAUCCUGUAUUAGAUGCUGUGCAAAGCUCUGCUUACAGAACUAAGACUUCGUGUGUAGGCAGCAGCUCAGGGGUGAGGUUAAAACACUAAACUCCGCCAGGACUUUUGAUAGUCACCAGAAGACUGUUUUGUUCUGAGGGGAUUAAAAUUUUGUAAACUUAAAUUAUAAGUUCAAAGGGCUGACUUAGUUCUUUCAGGGUAACGGUUUGAAUCCUCCUGUCUUUGGGGUAUUUUUUAUAUUGGUCCAAUCCAGGGGAACCUGGAAGGUGACGGCUCCCUGAUUCCCGGUGAGAGCUUCAUUUUCCCUGUGGGUAGUAAAUCUGCUUUAUUGUCAUUCAUUGCAGCAGUGAUUUGGUGCCUUCAAGCCCCAUUUGAAAGGCUAGAGAAGAGGGUAUGUAAACUUACAUCCGAGGCUCGUGAGGCGCUUGCUCUCUGUACAGUUAGACUGAAGUAAGCUUAGGUAUGUAAAGCCAUCCUGCAGAUGGGCAGUUUAUAAAGCAAAUCUCGCCAGCCUCAAGUGCUGAACCAUUGAAGGCACAGUUAGGAUAAACAGGUUCAAAUAUGGUUACUAAUCUUUAUAGGAAAAACACAAGCACCCACAAAAGAGAGAACUAAGUCCCUCCAUGAGGAACAGAUAUGAGGCUUGAUAAGUAUUAUAUAUUUGAGCGUUUGCCUUAGUGAUUAGAUUUUUGGGGGUUGGGGGAGAUGUGGCUCUUUUUUUUUUUUUCAGGCCAAAGGAAAAUGGAUGUCGUCAGAAGCCUUGCUGAAUGUUUCUCUUGGUGGCUCGGGUGCUGCUAGGUGCUACCAUUCUGUGAUCUGUCCUGUGACACAGAACAGGUUAAUUCCAUUGUAUGACAGAGGGAUUGUCUGCUCCUGAAAACUACCUUUUUACAAAUGUCUGUAAAUAUCUGUUAAAUAAAAACACUAGCCUCUAAGUCCAGAAGGAACACGGUUUGACCAUCAGUGCACCAGUGUUGUCUGAGCAGUCAGUCAAGGAAUAAAUGCUUAUUUAUGAAAAACUCAAUAAAAGUCACAUUUUGAGAUUUUG